rnacentral:rRNA from 1 species
UAAAUACACCACGAAUAGGCUAUCCCAACUAACGGCGGGAAAGACUCCACGGAGGGUGUAAGACCCGUGUGGGCGCGUGUUAAAGCUGUGCGGGCUCGGCCUCUAUUCCCUGAGAGUCGCGUUGCUUGAGCAUGCAGCGCUAAGCAGGUCGUAAACUCGAUCUAAGGCUAAAUAUCUCCACAGAACCGAUAGCGAACAAGUACCGUGAGGGAAAGUUGAAAAGCACUCUGGAGAGAGAGUCAAAAGACCGUGAAACCGCUCAGAGUAUAAGCCCAUGGCAGCUUGGAAGGCAUAUCGCUAGCGGGGCAUCGGUCUUCCUUCGCGGGGAGCUGGUGUUACCUUGCUUCUGUUGUGGCUCGUUAUGGUAGGGGGGUCAAGUCCACAUCCCGCCGUCGUGUGGGGGGUUCUUGGGUGGUGUUGUGGUUUUUCGGUUGGUUUCGGCCGGCCGGAGGGCUCUUCGUGCUCGGUUCCUCUUUAGACACGGACGUUCAGACUCAGAGGCAAGACGCGAUAAACAGCCCACCACGGCACGUUGUGAGGUCACCCACAGGCUCGACUUUCGAUCGCGAACCUUGACGCCGAGCAAGCACAAUGCGUGUCGCUGAUGUUCCUAACCAGGCAAAACGCUGCCAGGACCGUGGAACGACACGCGCUCAACAGUCAGGUUCGGGCGGAGACAGAGUUCUGGUACGAUCCUCUUGCGACGAGCCGGCUUCUGGCCAACAUCCGAUGCUCAGGUCUCCCGCAUGUGCCGCGGGAGAUCGCCUUGACGGUCUGGA